AAACCCAUAUAUUUAAAAAAAAAAAAAGAAGUUUUUUUUUUACUGCAUCUGGCCUUCAAAGUGCAAUUUGUAAUUUAUAAAAUCAGGCGCCGUCUUUGGAAAGGUCUAUCCAAAUAGACUGUUUUAAAGAUUGAAUAAGGGAAAAAGAUAAGGAAAAGGUCACAAUCAGUAGGGGAAGCGAGAUUCAAAGGCAUCAUAUGAUCAAGGAUUCAAGAUCAACAACUUGAUAAAGAAAGCAGGUCCAAGUGAAAUGAACGUGCGCUCGCCGAAUUUCUUGGAAGUUUCCUCGAUCUCCCCACGAGCUGUCAGUGUUGACCGACUAACAUGUAUCAAUCAGAUUAUGAUUUUUUUUUUUUACCCAAUGAGAAGAUCAGACUAUGAUAUGUUGUUGUUAUCCUUUUAUGGAUGGCAGUUCGUGGGAGUAUCAUUGCAACACCAAACAAACGUCCGCCUCUUUGCAAUAUGACUGAGUGGGUUUCAAUUAAUUUUAUUUUCAGUCAGUUUUAUUUAAUUGAUUAUUCUAAUUUAAAUUUUAAAUUAAGUAGAAGGUUAAAAAAUUAAUUUAAAUUUUAUCCAUAUUCUUUUUUUUGAAUAAAAAAAUCAAACAAAAAGCCCACACUAUGUCAGUAAUAAGACCCUUAUUACUAAAAAUCUUAAAAGAUUAUUUUUAAUUGGGUCUAAUCUUAUAUAACAGUUUCUAAUAUAUAAUUAUUUAUAUAUAAGUCCAACGUUAAAUUAAGAAUCCAAAAGUUGCUUCAAGGGCAAAUAUAAAACCCAAAGAAACUUUUAUAAUUUUCAUGGCUGGUAAAAAAUAAUUGAUAUUCUUUCUUUCAGAUAGGUUUUUUAAGUCCCAGUUUGUAACAGCAAUUAUGAAUAUGAUUUUGAGAAGUUGAGAACUAAACAUCAAUGUUUAUUUGAAAUUGAAAGGGAAAGUUUGAAUUAUCUACUGUGAAAUUGAAGAAUUAUGAGAGAAAGAGAAGUAGGGUUAUUAAGUAAUUUUAUCAAAAAUUAUUUUGAAAGUAAAAACCUAAAUUAAUGAGAGGGCUGAUGCUACAAUACCUGCAUGUAUCUGAUACAUGCAGGAAAAAUGGCCAUUGGAUUCAAAUAAUGAAUCCAACAGAUGAGAUGAAUUUAAAUAAUAAAUUUUUUUUUUUUUUUUGCAAAACCUGAAACCUAUAGAAUCGGUUAAUGAAUUAAUAAACAUGAAACUAGAUCAGGAAGAUUAUUUUGAUACUUGGACCAUUAAAUUUGAAACCAAAAGAACUUGAAACUUCGAGUAAUGAAUAUGAAAUUUGAUAUCAUUAACUUGCAAUCAUAAAAAUAAUCCAAUUAAUGGACCAAUAAACAUGAAACCAAGACCCUUAACUUGAUGUCGGGAUCAUUAAACUUGAAACCAAAUGAACUUGAAACUUAGUAUAAUGAACAUGAAACCUGCAAUCAUUAACUUGCGACCAUGAAAAUCAUCUAAUUAAUGGACCAAUAAACAUGAAACCAAGACCAUCAACUUGAUACAGGAACCAUUAAACUUGAAACCAAAUGAACUUGAAACUUAGGGCAAUGAACAUGAAAUCUGAGAUCAUUAACUUGCAAUCAUGAAACUCAUAUAAUUAAUGGACCAGUAAACAUGAAACUAAUACUAUUAACUUAAUACCGAAACCAUUAAACUUGAAACCAAAGGAACUUGAAACUUAGGACAAUGAACAUGAAAUCUGAGGUCAUUAACUUGCAACCAGGAAAAUCAUCAAAUUAAUGGACCAAUAAAUAUGAAACCAAGACCAUUAACUUGAUACUGGAACCAUUAAACUUGAAAUCAAAGGAACUUGAAACUUAGGGCAAUGGAGAUAAAAUCUGAUGUCAUUAACUUGCAAUCACGAAAAUCAUCCAAUUAAUGGACCAGUAAACAUGAAAUAAGGACCAUUAACUUGAUGUCUACGCCAUUAAACUUGAAAACAAAAGAACUUGAAACUUGGUGCAAUGAACAUGAAAUCGGAUAUCAUUAACUUGUAACCAUGAAAAUCAUCCAAUUAUUGGACCAAUAAACAUAAAACCAUGACCAUUAAACUUGAAACCAAAUGAACUUGAAACAUAAGGUAAUGAACAUGAAACUUGAGAUCAUUAACUUGCAACCAUGAAACUCAUCCAAUUAAUGGACCAAUAAAUAUGAAACCAUGACUAUUAACUUGAUGCCUACAUCAUUAAACUUGAAACCAAAGGAACUUGAAACGUGGUGCAAUGAACAUGAAACCGGAGAUCAUUAACUUGCAAACAUGAAAAUCAUCCAAUUAAUGGAUCAAUAAACAUGAAACUAUGACCAUUAACAUGAUGCCUACACCAUUAAACUUGAAACUAAAGGAACUUGAAAUAUAGAGCAAUGAACUUGAAACCUCAGAUCAUUAACUUGCAACCAUAAAAAUCAUCCAAUUAAUGGACCAAUAAAUAUGAAACCAGGACCAUGAACUUGAUACCAGAACCAUUAAACUUGAAACUCGAUUUUUAUUAUUAUAAAAAUGAUUUUUUAUUGUUAUGUGUCUUUUAAUAUUAAAAUAAUGAUUAUUUUAUUUAUUAUAUUUGAAUAUUAUUAUAUUUACUAUUAUUUAAUUCAUUUAAGGGGCAACCGGUGGCAAAAACCGGUUGCUCCCAUUUUUUUUUAAGUGUUUGAAUAAUGUUUUUUAAAUUUUUUUUAUUGCUUGCAUGUAUCACAUACAUGCAUGUAUUGUAGUUGUGCCCUAAUAAGAGGGAUUAGAGAGGAAACUUAUGGGUUCAAAUAGCUUCAACUAUCAAUUACUUUUCUUGAAACUUAUGUCGUGUUUGUUCUUUAAAAAAAAAAAAAACUGAAUGGGUCUGAAUGUGGUCUACAUAGGUUUGCAUACAUAUAUCUAAUAAUAAAUUUAUUUUUUUAUUUUUUGAUGUUUGAGUGUAAGUAGUAAAUUAUUUAUUUUCAUAAACCCAAAAUAUCUUAAAUCUAUUACUUUUACACUUCUGACCUUAAAAGUGCUAUAUAUAUAUGGAAUUUAAAAGUGGUAAGCUAUGUAGAACAAUAGUUUUUAUAUGUUAUAAAUAUUUAUAAGGUAAGCAUUUGAUAAAU
rnacentral:lncRNA from 1 species